rnacentral:rRNA from 1 species
AGAGUUUGAUCCUGGCUCAGGAUGAACGCUAGCGGCAGGCCUAAUACAUGCAAGUCGAACGGUGGUAGCAAUACCAUAGUGGCGCACGGGUGCGUAACGCGUAACCAACCUACCCGAAUCUGGGGGAUAGCCCGCCGAAAGGCGGAUUAAUACCGCAUAAAACAACAGCCCGGCAUCGGGUAAUUGUUAAAGAUUUAUUGGAUUCGGAUGGGGUUGCGUGACAUUAGCUAGUUGGCGGGGUAACGGCCCACCAAGGCGACGAUGUCUAGGGGAGCUGAGAGGCUGGUCCCCCACACGGGCACUGAGAUACGGGCCCGACUCCUACGGGAGGCAGCAGUAGGGAAUAUUGGGCAAUGGAGGAGACUCUGACCCAGCCAUGCCGCGUGCAGGAAGAAGGCGCUACGCGUUGUAAACUGCUUUUCUUGGGGAAGAAAAAGAGGAUGCGUCCUCCACUGACGGUACCCAAGGAAUAAGCACCGGCUAACUCCGUGCCAGCAGCCGCGGUAAUACGGAGGGUGCAAGCGUUGUCCGGAUUCAUUGGGUUUAAAGGGUGCGCAGGCGGGAAAUUAAGUCGGGGGUGAAAGACGGUUGCUCAACAAUCGCAGUGCCUUCGAUACUGGUUUUCUUGGGUGAAGUUGAGGUAGGCGGAAUUCAAGGUGUAGCGGUGAAAUGCAUAGAUACCUUGAAGAACUCCGAUUGCGAAGGCAGCCUACUGGACUUUCACCGACGCUCAGGCACGAAAGCGUGGGGAUCAAACAGGAUUAGAUACCCCGGUAGUCC